rnacentral:rRNA from 1 species
GACGCCGUGUGAGUGAUGAAGGCCUUCGGGUUGUAAAGCUCUGUGGGAGGGGACGAAAAGGUACUGGUCGAAUAGGUCGGACCCUUGACGGUACCCUCUUAGCAAGCACCGGCUAACUCUGUGCCAGCACCCUCGGUGCUGAGCGGGCUGGCAAGGCGCAUA